UGGAGAGUUUGAUCCUGGCUCAGGCGAACGCUGGCGGCGUGCUUAACACAUGCAAGUCGAACGGUAAGGCCCUUCGGGGUACACGAGUGGCGAACGGGUGAGUAACACGUGGGUAAUCUGCCCUGCACAUCGGGAUAAGGCUGGGAAACUGGGUCUAAUACCGAAUAGGACCACAGAACACAUGUCCUGUGGUGGAAAGCUUUUGCGGUGUGGGAUGGGCCCGCGGCCUAUCAGCUUGUUGGUGGGGUGAUGGCCCACCAAGGCGACGACGGGUAGCCGGCCUGAGAGGGUGUCCGGCCACACUGGGACUGAGAUACGGCCCAGACUCCUACGGGAGGCAGCAGUGGGGAAUAUUGCACAAUGGGCGAAAGCCUGAUGCAGCGACGCCGCGUGGGGGAUGACGGCCUUCGGGUUGUAAACCUCUUUCACCAUCGACGAAGGUUCGGGUUUUCUCGGAUUGACGGUAGGUGGAGAAGAGCACCGGCCAACUACGUGCCAGCAGCCGCGGUA
rnacentral:rRNA from 1 species